GAAACCCCAAAAGGCAAAAGCCUCUGUGAGUUGGUCUGAUGUAUUUAUGCUUGGUGGAACUUGGUUCUGGUUUGUUAUUCCCAAUUUACCCUUGUGCUGUUUCUAUUGUGUUAUUACCAAUUUACCCUUGGGUCGAUUCCAAGUAUCUAGUCACCUACUAGUUACAUACAUUCUUACCAUCUUCCUACUGUUUGCACGGGUUCCAAAGAUCAACCGGAGGUUCCACCUAUGGAUUCCAAAGAUGAAUCAGUGAUUCCAGUUUUGAAUUCUAUGGGUCAAUCAGAGCUUACACCCCUUUUUGUGAAGCUUUCUUUCCAUAAGAGAGAGCUCACUCAAAUGAAAAUGGGGAUGCUUGCGGUUCUUGUUUGUUUAGCUUUGUAUGUCUGGGCGAUCUUUGGUUAGCAUAAAGGAAGUGUGAAGAUGUCAUCGUCUGCAAUUUGGUUUUCGACUCUAGCUUGUUUUGGUUCAGGGGAAGAAGGAUGAUUUGAAGAAGCAGCUUGAUGUUAAGUAUGAUGAGAAUGAGAAGGCAACUUGGGAUUACUACUUGCAAUGUUGGUUAGAGGAUGAGGGAGUGGAUCUGAAGCAACUCGGUCUCAAUCAACAGGAUCAGAAUCUGAAGCAACUUGGUCUCAAUCAACAAGAUCAGAAUCUGAAGCAACGUCUUCUUGUUCUUAAAUGGCAAGUACCACUUCAAUAGAACAUGAAUAGAUUAAAGUAUGGAGUGGUUAAACGGUACCUCUUUCACUAUUCUUAUCAUUAUAACUUGUCUAUAACAAUGGACCUAUACCUUUUCAGGAUAGACUUGUCAUGGCAAACUGAUCAAUCUUGGACUAAUGAAAAUUAUAUAAGUAGUAACUUUUCACAAUGAAGAGUAAAUCUAAAAUGAAACUAUCGUUUGUAAUAGUGAAGGUGAUUGGUAUUAAGAUGAUAGUGUUGAUUGUAAUAGUGAAAGGUGAUUAGUAUUAAGAUGAUAGUAUCGUAACGAUCUUUUGCAAUAGUGAAGAGUGAUUCACAUUAAGAUGAAAUAGUUGCAGGGGUGAACAACAAAUGAUUAUGAACAAUGGAAGAGAAUGACUGAUGUAUUAUUGUUCAAAUGUUGUAUCACCAAUCCUUUUGAGACGCUACAGGCGAACCCUACAUCGAAUUAUUGUAUGAUGUCUUAUAACUUUUUCUCUUGUUCUUUCUUUCAGGUUUUUUACAAGCCGUCUUUCAUAGUGUGGCAAGCCAUUGGUUUCUUCAUCAUCUGUUUAGUGCCAUUUAUGAUUGCCUCAUUCGUACUUGACAAUAAGAAUCAGUUGUUGUUCUUUAUCCAAAAACCUAGUCCAUCUUGCACUUAAGGUGACUCUUGGUGGCGAUUUCAUUGACAGUUGAUCCUUCUUUGUGUAGCACUUACCGAACAUCCGUACUGACAUCAAGAUUAUUGUCA